rnacentral:rRNA from 1 species
GACAGAGGGUGCAAACGUUGUUCGGAAUUACUGGGCGUAAAGCGUGUGUAGGCGGUCUCAUAAGUCGGAUGUGAAAGCCCCGGGCUCAACCCGGGAAGUGCACUCGAAACUGCGAGGCUAGAGUAUCGGAGAGGUUGGUGGAAUUCUCGGUGUAGAGGUGAAAUGCGUAGAUAUCUGGAGGAAUACCGGUGGCGAAGGCGGCAUCCUGGACCGGCAUUGACGCUGAGGGAGCGAAAGCCAGGGGAGCAAACGGG